rnacentral:tRNA from 1 species
GGUUGUGGCUCAGUGACAGAGCGCUUGCCUAGCAUGCACGAGACGAGGCACUGGGUUCAAUCCCCAGAACCA